GUGGGGAAUUUUGGACAAUGGGCGCAAGCCUGAUCCAGCAAUGCCGCGUGCAGGAAGAAGGCCUUCGGGUUGUAAACUGCUUUUGUACGGAACGAAACGGUCCUGGCUAAUAUCCGGGGCUAAUGACGGUACCGUAAGAAUAAGCACCGGCUAACUACGUGCCAGCAGCCGCGGUAAUACGUAGGGUGCAAGCGUUAAUCGGAAUUACUGGGCGUAAAGCGUGCGCAGGCGGUUUUGUAAGACAGACGUGAAAUCCCCGGGCUCAACCUGGGAAUGGCGUUUGUGACUGCAAAGCUGGAGUGCGGCAGAGGGGGAUGGAAUUCCGCGUGUAGCAGUGAAAUGCGUAGAUAUGCGGAGGAACACCGAUGGCGAAGGCAAUCCCCUGGGCCUGCACUGACGCUCAUGCACGAAAGCGUGGGGAGCAAACAGGAUUAGAAACCCGAGUAGUCC
rnacentral:rRNA from 1 species